rnacentral:rRNA from 1 species
UGGGGAAUAUUGCACAAUGGGGGGAAACCCUGAUGCAGCGACGCCGCGUAUAGGAAGAAGGUUUUCGGAUUGUAAACUAUUGUCGUUAGGGAAGAAAAAAGACAGUACCUAAGGAGGAAGCUCCGGCUAACUACGUGCC